GAUGAACGCUGGCGGCGUGCUUAACACAUGCAAGUCGAACGGAAAGGCUCCUGCUUGCAGGGGUACUCGAGUGGCGAACGGGUGAGUAACACGUGGGUGAUCUGCCCUGCACUUCGGGAUAAGCCUAGGAAACUGGGUCUAAUACCGGAUAGGACGAUGUUUUGGAUGCCAUUGUGGAAAGAUUUUUCGGUGUGGGAUGAGCUCGCGGCCUAUCAGCUUGUUGGUGGGGGAAUGGCCUACCAAGGCGUCGACGGGUAGCCGGCCUGAGAGGGUGUACGGCCACAUUGGGACUGAGAUACGGCCCAGACUCCUACGGGAGGCAGCAGUGGGGAAUAUUGCACAAUGGGCGGAAGCCUGAUGCAGCGACGCCGCGUGGGGGAUGACGGCCUUCGGGUUGUAAACUCCUUUCGCUAGGGACGAAGCGCAAGUGACGGUACCUGGAGAAGAAGCACCGGCUAACUACGUG
rnacentral:rRNA from 1 species